rfam:Dipodomys ordii contig_11236, whole genome shotgun sequence.
GGUGGCUCAGUGGUAGAGUGCUUGCCUUUCAUGCACGAGGCCCUGGGUUCGAUUCCUCAGCACCA